UGACAUGUCAUAUAUUAUAGCUUGCAAGUC
rnacentral:piRNA from 1 species